rnacentral:misc_RNA from 1 species
CGCACUGCAUCGAUCCCUAAACCGGAACGAUACGCCCCAUUGAGCGUCAUUAUGUCUUCGCGACUUGUCAUUUUUUGGCUUGUCCGGGUUCGGGAUUCACGACCAUCAGGUUGCGCUUCCUUAGAAACAUGGCUGCACCAAAGCAAACGGUGACCUUGUCAUAAAUGUCGAGGUGCACUAAUAAGUGUUGUGUGCAAGAUCCAUUCCUUGCGAAUGAAUCAAAUGCGACUGCUGCAAGGCGGAAGCAACUUCUACACAUGACCUCACGGGGGUGGGACGACCCGCUAGACUUAAGCAUAUUAAUCAGCGGAGGAAAAGAAACUAACAAGGAUUCCCCUAGUAACUGCGAGUGAAGAUGGACUAGC